rnacentral:rRNA from 1 species
UACGGAGGGGGCGAGCGUUAUUCGGAAUUAUUGGGCGUAAAGGGCGCGUAGGCGGCUUGAUGUGUCAAAGGUGAAAUCCCUCGGCUCAACUGAGGAACUGCCUUUGAAACUGUCUGGCUUGAGGCCGGGAGAGGGUAGCGGAAUUCCCAGUGUAGCGGUGAAAUGCGUAGAUAUCUGGAGGAACACCGGUGGCGAAGGCGGCAUCCUGGACCGGUAUUGACGCUGAUGCGCGAAAGCCAGGGGAGCAAACGGG